UAUUAUUAUUAUUAUUAUUAUUAGGGUUAAGUACCAAUUUCCCCCCUAUCGAUGGCGUCCCUAUCGCAUAUAGCACCCUAUAGUCAGGGUAAGUGCUGCUUACUACCUCAACGUGGCAAAAUCGAAGCAAAUUCCCCCGCUACUUAACGGACGUUAACGCCGUUAGAAAAAAAUAUUUUUUCUUCUCUCUCUCAAUUCUGGCCAAAUCUCUCUGCGACGCUGGAAUCGACCCCAAACUCAACUGCAACAUGUAGUUUCCGGCCAGAUCUCCCUCCGCCCUCCACCUCUUCGCCGCCACCUCAAUUUAAUCACACCGACACACACAUCCUCGCAAGCUCACCUAUGUUCUCAGUAUUUUUGAAAUCACAGCAAAAAAAAAAAAAAAAAAAAAAUCAGAUCUCCUUCUCAGUUUUGCACCUCCCGUGGAUGCUCCAUCGUCUGCUUCGGCCGGAGAGCAGCAGCAAAAACCAUUCGUCGCUGCCACACGUUCUCUCCCUCUCUGAGCCGACACUUGCAGCCCCUAUUCACCACCGCGCGGUCCAUCUGCGGUUUCGCACAUGUUCUCCACCGACCCCCUCAUUUUACCGCUUCAAAUCCAA
rnacentral:lncRNA from 1 species